GGCUCACCAAGGCAACGAUGCGUAGCCGACCUGAGAGGGUGAUCGGCCACACUGGGACUGAGACACGGCCCAGACUCCUACGGGAGGCAGCAGUAGGGAAUCUUCCGCAAUGGACGAAAGUCUGACGGAGCAACGCCGCGUGAGUGAUGAAGGUUUUCGGAUCGUAAAGCUCUGUUGUUAGGGAAGAACAAGUACCGUUCGAAUAGGGCGGUACCUUGACGGUACCUAACCAGAAAGCCACGGCUAACUACGUGCCAGCAGCCGCGGUAAUACGUAGGUGGCAAGCGUUGUCCGGAAUUAUUGGGCGUAAAGGGCUCGCAGGCGGUUUCUUAAGUCUGAUGUGAAAGCCCCCGGCUCAACCGGGGAGGGUCAUUGGAAACUGGGGAACUUGAGUGCAGAAGAGGAGAGUGGAAUUCCACGUGUAGCGGUGAAAUGCGUAGAGAUGUGGAGGAACACCAGUGGCGAAGGCGACUCUCUGGUCUGUA
rnacentral:rRNA from 1 species